UUCGUAUGCUGGCUGUUGCAUGUUAUUAACUUUGUGUCUUCUCUCACCCUGUACCUCCCUGCAGGUAUUUCCAGCUCUCAACCUGCAGCCUGAUCUGCAGCUACUGGUCCAACCAAUCAGUCCAGUGUUUAUGUUCUCUUGUCUGUUCUCUCUGCCGACCUUUUCUCUCUUCCCUUUUACCCUCACUCCGACCAGACUGCCGUCCCCCUGCCUGGUUCUGCUGCAUGCUCACCUAUUGAUGAAUGGAAGAGGGAUUUUUUUGUUAGUCAGUAACUUCUUUAAAGCACUCAGACUCAUUAUUUGUGCAGACUCAGACAAUGGAAGGAAUGCACCUACAAAUGUCCUCUCGACACAGAAGAAGGAAAACUAGGAAUCCUGCUUAUCCGACCUACCUGAUGAUCGUGGAAGGCGAUAACGUGGAAACUGUUAAAGCACAGAGUGCACAGGAGAACCCAACAUUCAGGGCAAAGCUCAUCUACUACACUCUCGUCUUUCUCAGGGUGGCUCUGUGGAUUACCUUUGCUUGGAUCCUGUCUCACCUCCACCUGGGUGCUCCAUGUUUCCUCCUGGCCGUGACCAUUUGGUUGUACUCGAAGCCGAUGAAGAGUGCUCUGAAAUGGGCUAAGAGGCGCCUGAGAGGUCCAGAUGCCUGAAGUGUCACACUGAGCUAAACAGAUGUAUGAGCAAAAUAGCAAAAGAAUA